UCAAAGANUUCCUGCGCAACGUUAAUCGACGCAGGGUUAGUCGGUUCCUAAGGCGAGGCUGAAAGCGUAGUCGAUGGGAACAGGUUAAUAUUCCUGUACUUCUGGUUACUGCGAUGGAGGGACGGAGAAGGCUAGGCCAGCUUGGCGUUGGUUGUCCAAGUUUAAGGUGGUAGGCUGAAAUCUUAGGUAAAUCCGGGGUUUCAAGGCCGAGAGCUGAUGACGAGUCGUCUUUUAGAUGACGAAGUGGUUGAUGCCAUGCUUCCAAGAAAAGCUUCUAAGCUUCAGGUAACCAGGAACCGUACCCCAAACCGACACAGGUGGUCGGGUGAGAAUACCAAGGCGCUUGGAGAACUCAGGUGAAGGAACUAGGCAAACGGCACCGUAACUUCGGGAGAAGGUGCGCCGGCUAGGGUGAAGAUUUACUCCGUAAGCCUGGCUGGUCGAAGAUACCAGGCCGCUGCGACUGUUUAUUAAACACAGCACUCUGCAAACACGAAAGUGGACGUAUAGGGUGUGACGCCUCCCCGGUGCCGGAAGGUUAAUUGAUGGGGUUAGCGCAAGCGAAGCUCUUGAUCGAAGCCCCGGUAAACGGCGGCCGUAACAAUAACGGUCCUAAGGUAGCGAAAUUCCUUGUCGGUAAGUUCCGACCUGCACGAAUGGCGUAACGAUGGCGGCGCUGUUCCACCCGAGACUCAGUGAAAUUGAAAUCGCUGUGAAGAUGCAGUGUAUCCGCGGCUAGACGGAAAGACCCCGUGAACCUUUACUGUAGCUUUGCACUGGACUUUGAGCCUGCUUGUGUAGGAUAGGUGGGAGGCUUUGAAGCGUGGACGCCAGUUCGCGUGGAGCCAUCCUGAAAUACCACCCUGGCAUGCUUGAGGUUCUAACUCUGGUCCGUAAUCCGGAUCGAGGACACAGUGUAUGGUGGGCAGUUUGACUGGGCGGUCCUCCUAAAGAGUAACGGAGGAGUACGAAGGUGCGCUCAGACCGGUCGGAAAUCGGUCGNAGNAUAAAAGCAAAGCGCGCUUGACUGCGAGACAGACACGUCGAGCAGGUACGAAAGUAGGUCUUAGUGAUCCGGUGGUUCUGUAUGGAAGGGCCAUCGCUCAACGGAUAAAAGGUACUCCGGGGAUAACAGGCUGAUACCGCCCAAGAGUUCAUAUCGACGGCGGUGUUUGGCACCUCGAUGUCGGCUCAUCACAUCCUGGGGCUGAAGCCGGUCCAAGGGUAUGGCUGUUCGCCAUUUAAAGUGGUACGCGAGCUGGGUUUAGAACGUCGUGAGACAGUUCGGUCCCUAUCUGCCGUGGACGUUUGAGAUUUGAGAGGGCUGCUCCUGGUACGAGAGGACCGGAGUGGACGAACCUCUGGUGUUCCGGUUGUCACGCCAGUGGCAUUGCCGGGUAGCUAUGUUCGGAAAGAUAACCGCUGAAAGCAUCUAAGNGGAAACUUGCCUCAAGAUGAGAUCUCACUGGGAACUUGAUUCCCUGAAGGGCCGUCGAAGACUACGACGUUGAUAGGCUGGGUGNGUAAGCGUUGUGACGUUGAGCUAACCAGUACUAAUUGCCCGUGAGGC
rnacentral:rRNA from 1 species